GGGGCGCUCCGGCCUGACUGCUGACUGCAGGGAGGGCGCCCGGCACCUUCGUCCGGCGGCCAAGGGCGGUGUCGCGGCAUCGGGCCCAGCCAGCCGCGGUCGGCUCGAUCCACGGACGCUGCCCCACCCUUGAACUGGGUCUUUCAGUAAACUGCAUCCACACCCACCUUUCCACUCUGGAUACCCGAGAGGGGCUGGAAACCUGGGUCGCGGAACCAGGGGGAGGGGCUGCCUCCAAAAGGGGUCCUCGCCUCCUCGGAAGGCUUGGAAAAGGAGGCUCAAAGAGCUGACUAGCUACAAAGCUAGUAAGUGAGGACAUCUAGAUUCCUUCUACAAAGACAAAGCCCAGAUGGGCCCCCAGUACACAGUCCAUCCCACUGAUGCUGUUCCCAGGUUCCUAAGGCCUGGCCUCCUACCUUCUCCCCAUGUCUGCCUCCAACUAGGACAUCUUGGACUCUUCAUGACCAGCCAAGCUUGGUCCCCUCCAGAGAAUGGCCCUGCCCCAGCAGGCCCAGGCACAUGAGGACUGCCCGUGGAUUACUGGCAACAAAUGUCCUUGGCCGAGGCUCCCUCCUCCCGCCACCCAGUCUGCACCCAGCCUGCUUUCUCCUCUGCUCACUCCUCCCCCAGUCCCCGCCCCUGUUGUCUGUUGGAAUAUAAUCAAAGAAGCACACAGGCAGAUUUUUAAAUAAUGCCUGCCCAGCCUCAGGUGACUCAUCCGAUGGCUGUGAGCUCCAACUCUCCUCCAUGUGGGCGUCGCCAGCACCACCACAUUGGCACACAGCAAAGCUAUGCUGCACAGCACCCAUGUAGAUGAUAACAGGGGGAAACGAGGCCCACUGAUCCUCCCUUUCCCUGGAAUAGGCUUUUGGCAAGCUUUGGGGAAAGGUGGUUUUCUCCCCUACGCUCCUGUAUAAAAAGGAGCAGAUCUUCUGGCUGUUGGGCAGGGUGGUGGGGGAGGAGAGCCAACAUCCUCCUGCCACCUGUCAUUUCCUGCUUUGGACUUGAUGUCACUGUCGAGUGUUUGAGCCAUCCCUGCCCUGAAGGCACUUUGGGGUGAUGAUGACAAAAUUCAGACUGGAAAGGAAAGGAAUGAAUUGCCAGUAGAAGGCUGGGCCGGGCCUGCAUUUUACAGAGGGACUCAGGAUCUCACGUUUCGCUCUGCUGGGCUGUUCUUAUUUCCUGCCUUCCAUGAGAGGAGUCUUGUGAAAGCACCCGGGAGAUGUGGGAUGAUGAUGAACAUUACUCUCAGUGGAUGCCAUCUCUAACGCGACACAUGUGAUCUGGUUGAGAGAGAUUUAAUUGGGAUUCUGAAAUUUUGAGCAUCAGUAGAAUAAUGAAAACCCAAGAGCCAUUCCAGCAGUAAAGUUGUAUGAAUUAUUCUGGAACAGCCUCACAGUGUAUUUGUUUGUGUCCUCAGAGGAGGUCCAGGGGACAAAGCACUUCCACUUCUCUUUCCUGUGAAACUCGUCUAAAAUAGCCUUGCCUGCUAUAUGUGUGCUGUGAGCACACAUCUUCAAGCUUUUGAAUAAAAGCAUUUCUUUAUGAAGAUGGAGGAAAUUUACUUAAAGCACCUAAAGUGCUUCCUCUUUAUAAAGACCACCUAGGUGUCAGUUGAUCAUCCUACUCUUGAUUUUAGCUCAGGACAUGAUCCCAGGGUUGUGGGGUCCAGCUCCGCACCUAGUGUGGAGCCCACUUAAGAUUCUCUCUCUCCCCCUGCCCCUCUCCCCUGCUCGUGCUCUCUCUCUCUAAAAUAAAAAUAAAUAGGGGCACCUGGGUGUCUCAGUCGGUUAA